UCCGCCGCAGCCUCUGACAUGCAUUCCUAAGUGUAUGACUCUAUAGUUUAUAAAUGCAGCAUUCCUUGUGGAGGGGAGGGAGGAUAAUUACAACUGGGACACGUUGAGCUAGCCUGGGUAAAGGAGAAGGCGGUGUCACUUGUCUCUUACCAUGCAAUGAAUGGAAUAGAAUCGAUGCCAGAUGUUGAGACUUGUGAGGUAGAUCGACAAUGCACAGGAAACUCGUGUUGUGCUGUCAGUUUGUGGCUUUCAAAUCUAUGGACGUGCACGCCAUUGGGAAAUCAUGGGGAUCAGUGCCAUCCACUGAGUCACAGAGUACCAUUCUCUGGGAAACGAAAGCACAACACCUGCCCUUGUCUGUCAAAUCUAGUCUGUAGGAGAACUGCAGAAAGGCAAUACAAAUGUUUAUAACCAGCCCAAAUUUGAUAAGUAUUUUAUGAGAAAGCAGCCUUGUUAAUCAGAUUUGCAUACACUAUUCUACUUACCAAUAGCAAAUAUACCAGAAAUCCAGAUUGUCUAUUUUUAUCACAUUCACAAGUAUGAUAUUAGAGUCAUUGAGGCAAAUGGCACACAAACAGGCUCUUUGGCCAGUCACAUUCAAGCCAAUGUUUUGAAUACAUACACUAAUUCCAUUUGACCACAUCAGAACCAUAUCCUAUACUUUGUAGUUAGUCCUGACGAAGGGUCUCUGCCUGAAACGUCGACUGUACCUCUUCCUAGAGAUGCUGCCUGGCCUGCUGCGUUCACCAGCAACUUUGAUGUGUGUUGCUCCCAUACUUUGCCGUUUUAAAGUUCUGGCUAAAUACCUCAUAAUAUAGUCAUUGUAUUGGAUUCCACUACCACCUAUGCCAAUGUUUCCGGACAUCAAUCACUCGAUGAAUUUAAAACAAGCUUGCCAAUUACAUCCCUGUAAAAUGUCCUUCUCUCCUAUGCCCUAUUAAACCUAUGGCCACUUUGCUUUGAUACGCUGAGCCUGGAAAAAAGAUUUUGACUAAUGCCUUACUAAGUGUCAUUAGAUCACCCAUCAGCUUCCUUUUGCUUCUUAUUCAAGCUUAUUGUUCGUAUUUAGAUCACAGUAUAUUACAAUGUUACACACUUGCUUGGUACAAUUUAAACAUCUGUAAACAGAGUUUGCUGUUAUAAAUGUCGAUAUUUCUGUUUCAAUGAUUAGAAAUUUUCCCUUUGUUUAUCAAAUAAAUGAUCAGGUGUAAUUCAAAAGCAUAACUUGUUUUGGAUUCAUAGUGGAGGGUUGAUAACACAACAUUAUGGAACUAAACAUGGGAAAGAUCUCAUCUUCAUGAUUAGCAACUACCAUUGAAAUUGCAAUUGUGAUUGAGGUAAUGAAAAUAAAACAAAAAGAAUGUGUAACUUAAACAACAGGAAUUCUGCAGAUGCUGGAAAUUCAAGCAACACACAUCAAAGUUGCCGGUGAACGCAGCAGGCCAGGCAGCAUCUCUAGGAAGAGGUACAGUCCACGUUUCAGGCCAUUUCUCGGCCUGAAACAUCGACUGUACCUCUUCCUAGAGAUGCUGCCUGGCCUGCUGAGAAUGUGUAACUUGAUGUUUGCCACAAAAUCAAUGGGAUGAAAAAAAAUUAUUGAGUAGGUGAAAAUGCAAUGUUGUGGUUUGUAUUAUCUAUUUUAUGUCCAGGACAAUUUAGCAGAUCAAGCCCCCACAGAACUCAAAGCAGUAAAUGAUUCAGUGACACUUUUGAAGAUAUUUUCAGCGAUUUUAUAUCAAAUUACUGAUAAUUGCUUAUUAAAAAUGCUUAUUUUUGUGCUAAACCUGGUUUAUUUGUUUGAGUAAUUCUACACAAAGCUACACUUAAAAACAUUCUAUUCUAGAGUUCUGCUGUGCUGGUUCAUGUAAUUAACACUAUGCAACUGAUUUUUAUUGGAAACUAAAACCUAUCUAGUCAAAGUUCAAGCAUAUUUUGGUUGCAAUUUUCAAAGAUGAAAUUCUACCUUCACUAUCAUUCUACUUCCCCAAGAAAGGACAGAGGGGACAGAAUGUUAUACCUUAUACCAGCUGGUCGCAGAAUGUUACUGGGAAGGAUUCUGACAGCAAUUUAACCCAUUGGUUUACGGAGAGGAAAAAAUUCAAAACAUACUCAAUAUCAGGAGGAACAAUUCAGAAUCACCUUUUAAACAUAAUUUGCUAUGUGCUAAUAAGUGAUAUAACUGCAAAAUCAUUUUGUCUAUUUAC